AUUGAACGCUGGCGGCAUGCCUAACACAUGCAAGUCGAACGGAAACGAUGGGAGCUUGCUCCCAGGCGUCGAGUGGCGGACGGGUGAGGAAUGCAUAGGAAUCUGCCCAGUAGCGGGGGACAACUCGGGGAAACUCGAGCUAAUACCGCAUACGCCCUACGGGGGAAAGCAGGGGAUCUUCGGACCUUGCACUAUUGGAUGAGCCUAUGCCUGAUUAGCUUGUUGGUGGGGUAACGGCCUACCAAGGCGACGAUCAGUAGCUGGUCUGAGAGGACGAUCAGCCACACUGGGACUGAGACACGGCCCAGACUCCUACGGGAGGCAGCAGUGGGGAAUAUUGCACAAUGGGCGCAAGCCUGAUGCAGCAAUGCCGCGUGUGUGAAGAAGGCCUGCGGGUUGUAAAGCACUUUCAGUAGGGAGGAAACUGUAACGGAAUAAUACCCGUUACCCUGACGUUACCUACAGAAGAAGCACCGGCUAACUCUGUGCCAGCAGCCGCGGUAAUACAGAGGGUGCGAGCGUUAAUCGGAAUUACUGGGCGUAAAGCGCGCGUAGGCGGCUUGGUCAGUCGGAUGUGAAAGCCCCGGGCUUAA
rnacentral:rRNA from 1 species